rnacentral:lncRNA from 1 species
AUUUGUUUAUGGGUUUUGUUAUUUUAGAUUAUGGGUUUCAAUCUUAGAAGUUUGCGUUUUAAUUUUUGUUUAGGGUAUUGAAGAUUCAUGGAGUUGUGUUGGUGAAUUUGGCUUUGUGGGUUUGUUACAGAAUACUCAAUAUUUGUUAAUUUUGUUAUGAACCUACAAAUUUUUGUGAAUUUGAUCUAGAAUGGGUAUUUGU